UAUGUAGGCAGCGAGCGUUGUUCGGAGUUACUGGGCGUAAAGGGUGUGUAGGCGGUUUUCUAAGUUUGGUGUGAAAUCUCCCGGCUCAACCGGGAGGGUGCGCCGAAAACUGGGAGACUAGAGUGCGGGAUGGGAGAGUAGAAUUCCUGGUGUAGCGGUGAAAUGCGUAGAUAUCAGGAGGAACACCAAUGGCGAAGGCAGCACUCUGGGACGUGACUGACGCUGAGACGCGAAAGCGUGGGGAGCAAACAGG
rnacentral:rRNA from 1 species